GAUUUCUGGCUUGAAACAUUUUGCCGGCCACGGUUUCGUGUGUUAGUGCUUGGUGUUCUGGCCAUCCUUCCAAUCGCUAUUUGUCUUUCUUCAUUGAUGGGCAAGUGGUAUUGGAUCUUUUACUUUGAAAAAAUUAGAGUGUUUCAAGCAGGCUUUAUGCUAUGAAUACAUUAGCAUGGAAUAAUAAUUUAGGACUUUGUUUCUAUUUUGUUGGUUUCUAGAGGCGAAGUAAUGAUUGAUAGGGAUAGUUGGGGGUGCUAGUAUUCAGCGGCCAGAGGUGAAAUUCUUGGAUUCGCUGAAGACUAACUUAUGCGAAAGCAUU
rnacentral:rRNA from 1 species